UCUUCUCUUGAUUUCUUUAAUUUUUCUUUUCCUGACCGUGGGUCCCGCAGUACAUCUUCAACCUUCAGCAAAACUCCAGCUCCUGUACGAGAAGGAAACGGAGAACCAGUACGCAAAAAUCUCAACGAUUUCGCUGGCGUUUGCCACGGAUUUUCGACCUAUAAAUACCCCCAAACCUCCUCUAUUUUAUUCUCCUAAAAUCCCCAAUUUUUGCGCCGCCAGGCUGCGCAAAUUUCUCGCCGAAGUUCGCGGCGCCGCCACCAUCGCUGAGCUUCGAAGACCACUAAGGAGCCGGGAAAUUGUCGCCGCCGGAGUUCUGCUGAAGACAAGAACGAUCAGCAGAGUGUGCUGCCCGGUGUUGUCGUCGUCGUCCCGUCGUCGCCGUCGUUCAGGAUCGCGAGAACCGUCGCCAAGAACACCGCCGGUACUGCCAGUGUCCGCCGCAUCGCUCAGACCACGUCACCGCCGUUGCAAAUCAUCCGGAGACGCCGCCCGAGCCAUCACCUUGCCGCGUCUGUGCCACAAUUGCCCGGAUUGCAACGAGUGUGAUUGCGACCACUGUUUGAACACCGACCAAGGCAAGUGUCACAAACUCAUUAUCCUACUGUUUUCUAUGCAUUGGUAGUUGUUUUAUGUGCAUACUGUUUUCAAAUUGCUGGCCCUGGGAUAUUAUCAAAGUGGAGAGGUUGCGAGAGAUAAAUGUUUUAUUCUCUUAAUGAAAACAACCAUGUCAAAUUAAUACACCCCUGGGUGGUAAGUGGUAAUGCUUGGUUUAUGUUGAGUGGUUGCACCGGGGUCAUUUCUAUGGCAGCACCGUGUGCAUCACACUUGAGGUUGGCCACCCAGGAACAAAGAGAUUAGCCCGGUUUUCUUGUUUUAGUAGCUUCCAGUACAACCACAUGCUAUAUGGGCUCUGGCUAGAUUGAGUAGGUUGCGAGAACUCGACCCAAUGUACAGAGGGUGGUAGAUAUUGGUAGGACGGAGCGCGUCCAUUGUGGUUGAGGUAUUGCUUCUGAAAGGUCUUGUCCUAGUCGACAUCUGUCCAUUUGAGCAAAAUGCGCAUCAUGGAAGAAGAACAGACUAGGUCAUGUGGGGAAUGUGUACAGCCUCUCGAGAGUGUCAAAACUAAGUACUUAGCCGUGUCCCCGGUUACGGACAUCUAAGAGCAAUUAGAGCUUGAAACUGUUGGAUGAUCUCGUCAGUCGAAUU